AUAAAAAAUGUGGCCUAAGCUCGUUUCCGUUUGCAUUACCGAUCUGUGAAAAGCAGGUAUUUACCUCACACGCAGUUAUUGUAUCAGCCCCACAUUUGGCAGCCAUCAUUGAGAGCAGGCCUGUUCCAGUCCCAAUAUCAACAUAUCUGCGAAUGCUGAGCGCGCCACUUCUUGGUGAUAAUCAUAAUCCGGAUCUUUCUCUUCCCAGCAUAUUGUUCCUGUCAUUGGAUUGAAGCUCUGUGUGAAGACGCUCAUGUUUUUAUUACGCACAAUUCCUCGAGAUAGCUGCCUUACUGCAAAACGUCUGUGAAAGAAAAAUGAAAUAUAAAUUUUAUUCAAUUUUCAACGUCCAUGAAAUAGCCGUUAUUUUGAAAACUCCUUUUUCUAAGACAAACGUUAUAAGCCCUCGCUUUUAGCUCGAGAAUGUCUCAAACAGAGAAAAAAUCGCUGAGAUCAAUUUGAUUUCGCUAUUUUACAUUGAUUUCCAUGAAGAAACUAAAUUUCAAAUUCUUGAAUAGGAUGUGCUGAAUAUAAAAGAAAAAUAGUGAAAAAACAAGUUACAUGCUCCGUCAACUUCUUAUAUUUCCGCAACUAUUCAACUCGUGACAUUGAUUUUGGUAACAUUGAAGUAACGAAACAUUAAAAUGAAAUUCACUGCUUAGCAGCCUUCGACUGAAGCUGAAGGUAUUCAGUUUUUAAACUAUGAGAAGGGUUUGUUUUAUUAUGGUUUUCUAAAUUUCAGAGAAAUGUAGAGUAGAAAAAUAGCAACUUUUCCCAAAAAUGCAUCAUUACAUUAACUUUACAAACUUGGACCGCCUUCAGUUUCGGCAUUAGAGGCUGAGGAAUGCUAUAUUUAUUCAAGUUACAUUCUAUAAAUUAUUGAUCACAAAUGAAAUAUUAAAAUUUUUCUGGCAACAUACCAAUGAGAUCGCAAUGUAUGGGCGUGCAGAGUCCUAGUUUUCAUUCAAAUCAUACAAUAGUCGUGAUCUUGUUCACAACCAUAAGCCCCAACAGACAAACAUUAUUUUGUAGUGAUACUUCAUGUACACUAAUCAUGUUAUUGAAUUUUCAUAAUCUGUGUGUUCACCUAUCCAUAAUUGCUAUCUCAUUGUUAUGUUUUUAAAACAAUUUGAACGUUUCAUUUAGAAUUAGAGCUUAUACCUGAAAUUUCAAUCGAUCACAAUUGAUUAAAAAAAGUUUAAAAGUAAAUAGAUAAAAAAUCAACCUAGUUCAUAUGGUCAAAAUGAACAUUCAUACCACCUUAAAUCAUAAUUUAUAAAUAAAUUAACGUGUUCGAUUAUUACAACAAAUCUGAUGAUCAAAAUUCGGUCUUAUACGACAUUGUUAUCAUAGAUAUUCACGCCUAUAAAAAUUCUUACUAUUCUAUUCUAGCAUGCAUCGAGCAUCGUUACUUUUUAUCACUUUUUGAAAUCCAUAAUUUGAUUAUGUAUUGAAACAUUUUUUUAAAUAUAUAAUUAGGCAGAGCAAAACGACAUCUUACAUUAUUUCAUUUAUUUUUCCGGUUUUCAGCAUCUUUUCUAUGCUGCUUAAUGCAAUGACGAAUGCCUCUCCUUGCUCUAGUACUAUCUAAAAUCAACUAGGUAGAAGUAUCAAGUUAUGCAGACUCUAUAAGUAAUGAGUAAUAACAUGGCAUACCCCUAUAAAUGAUUGCCAAAAACUGGGACAUUAUUCAUAAAGACAUCAAAAGACACAACUACUAGGACUGCAAGUGGUAUAGCAGUGCAGAGAAUAUGGUUAUAUGACUUGACAGGUUAAUAUCUACACGAAAAGACAUAGCACACAUCCAUACAUCUAAGUAGCGUCACGAAUACCGCAGAAAUGGAACUACAGAUAUGAACAGAGCGAGAAGGAAAAAUUACACAAAACAGUUUUCAACAUGGCUUAUAGAUUUUUGAUAUUCUUUAUUGCAACGAUAUUCAAGAAACUCAAGACUUACGAACAUGUAUUUGAAAUUAUACAUGUAAUUAAAAUACAUAUAAAAUUUAUAAACAUUGAAGAAAAAAACACUAUAGAACGAUCAACAAAUAAAUAUCUUAUAGCUCAUCGGAAAUGCUAGCAACAUUUACCGUGACAUACAAAGUUUUUUAAGUGUCAAUGGUCGAGAAAAGAAAAUAAUAUGUGAAUUGACGUUUCGGCCCUAAUGGGGGAGAGUGGGUCUGCUUAGAAUUGAAACAAAUUUAUUAAUGAAACAUUGUUGCAAAGGAACUGUGUUAUUGUCCACGCGUAGUAAUGAAAUAAUGAAUUGAAAGAGAAAAGGAAAAGGUUUGAAACUUAGUAACAAUAACGGAACGAAACAUUAAGAACAGUCAUAUCCUAGAAGUUUCUAUGAAUUAAGUUUGAUUAGAAACUAAGUUUUCUACUAAUACUUGAGAAAGUCAAUCUGGCAGGGUAUGAAUGGAGGGCGAACUUGCUGACUGCCGGAAAAGAACCAAUCCAUUGAAAA